UACGGAGGGUGCAAGCGUUAUCCGGAUUCACUGGGUUUAAAGGGUGCGUAGGAGGGCAGGUAAGUCAGUGGUGAAAUCUCCAAGCUUAACUUGGAAACUGCCGUUGAUACUAUCUGUCUUGAAUAUUGUGGAGGUGAGCGGAAUAUGUCAUGUAGCGGUGAAAUGCUUAGAUAUGACAUAGAACACCAAUUGCGAAGGCAGCUCACUAGUCAAUCAUUGACUCUGAGGCACGAAAGCGUGGGGAUCAAACAGG
rnacentral:rRNA from 1 species